UUGUUAAAAAUAGUUUUUAAAAUAAUAUACUAAGAAAUAUAAAUAGAUUUAGUAGUGUUAACGAAAAUGAAUUUUUACUAUAGAAAAUUAGUACUGUGAAGGAAAUAUUGAAAUAUGUGAAAAAUUUACAUAAAAAUAGUACUUUUAAAUUAAGGUACCUUUUGUAUUAGUGGUUAUUAAAAUAAUAAAAUAGAUUUCUUUCUCGAAAAUAAUAGAUCUAAAUUGAUUUUAUAGUUCUUGUAUCAAAAAGAUUAUAAAAAUUAAUUUAGGUGUGAAAUUCUUAUCGCUUUUAUUUAUAUCUAGUUACUUCAGAAAAAAAUUUAGUUUUUAAUGUUUUGAGAUACUUUAUUUUUAAGAAAUCUUAAAUUCAUUUUUAAAUUUUAGGGGAUGAGCUCUAAAAUUAUUAUAAAAAAGUCAAAAUAUACAAUUUUUUUAUAGGCUUAGAAUUAGCCAUUAGAUAGUGUUAUAAAAUAUAACUUUGAGUAUAAGAUUUAAUUACUUUUUUGUUUUUAUGAAGUUGGUUUAUAAAUUCUUUUAUAUUCGUAAAUAUGAUAACAUUAGUAGAUAAAUUUAAAUAAAGAAAUAAAUUAUAAAUUUUUCAUUAUUUUUUUUAAAAAAAAAUUUGACAAAAGAACUCGGCAAAUAAAAUUUCCGAAUGUUUAACAAAAACAUUUCCUCUUAGAUUAAGAGGUAAGGCCUGCUCACUGAAAAUUUAAAGAGCCGCAGUAUCCUAACUGUGCUAAGGUAGCAUAAUCAUUAGUCUUUUAAUUGAAGACUGGUAUGAAUGGCUAAACGAGAAAUUGACUUUUUUUGUUAUAUAAAUUGAACUUAAUUUUUUAGUGAAAAAGCUAAAAUUAUUCAGAAAGACGAGAAGACCCUAUAGAGUUUUAUAUUUUAUAAAUUUUAUUCUUAUUAGAUUUUUAUAGAAUACAUUUUAGAAGGUAUUUUGUUGGGGCGACAUUAAGAUAAAAAAAACUCUUUAUUUUUAAAAUUUUAAUUAAAAGAAAGUUUGAUCCUCUAAAAGAGAUCAAAAGGAAAAAUUACCUUAGGGAUAACAGCGUAAUCUUUUUUGAGAGUUCUAAUCGACAAAAAGGUUUGCGACCUCGAUGUUGGACUAAAAUUUAGGCAGGGUGUAGCAGUUCUGCUUUAAGGUCUGUUCGACCUAUAAUAUUUUACACGAUCUGAGUUCAGACCGGCGUAAGCCAGGUUGGUUUCUAUCUUCUGAUAUUAUAAUUUCAGCUUAGUACGAAAGGAUUGGUUGAUUGUAAGUUUUAUAUAAAAAUGAGGAUUAUUAAUAUUUUUAA
rnacentral:rRNA from 1 species